rnacentral:rRNA from 1 species
GAUGAACGCUAGCGGCGUGCUUAGCACAUGCAAGUCGAACGAAGCACUUUAUUUGAUUUCCUUCGGGACUGAUUAUUUUGUGACUGAGUGGCGGACGGGUGAGUAACGCGUGGGUAACCUGCCUUGUACAGGGGGAUAACAGUUGGAAACGGCUGCUAAUACCGCAUAAGCGCACGGCAUCGCAUGAUGCAGUGUGAAAAACUCCGGUGGUAUAAGAUGGACCCGCGUUGGAUUAGCUAGUUGGUGAGGUAACGGCCCACCAAGGCGACGAUCCAUAGCCGACCUGAGAGGGUGACCGGCCACAUUGGGACUGAGACACGGCCCAAACUCCUACGGGAGGCAGCAGUGGGGAAUAUUGCACAAUGGGCGAAAGCCUGAUGCAGCGACGCCGCGUGAGCGAAGAAGUAUUUCGGUAUGUAAAGCUCUAUCAGCAGGGAAGAUAAUGACGGUACCUGACUAAGAAGCACCGGCUAAAUACGUG